rnacentral:rRNA from 1 species
CACGUAGGGGGCGAGCGUUGUCCGGAUUUAUUGGGCGUAAAGAGCUCGUAGGCGGUUUCGUUAGUCGGGUGUGAAAACCCCAGGCUCAACCUGGGGACGCCACCCGAUACUGCAGGGCUAGAGUCCGGAAGAGGCGAGUGGAAUUCCUGGUGUAGCGGUGAAAUGCGCAGAUAUCAGGAGGAACACCGAUGGCGAAGGCAGCUCGCUGGGACGGUACUGACGCUGAGGCGCGAAAGCGUGGGGAGCAAACAGG